rnacentral:rRNA from 1 species
UACAGAGGGUGCGAGCGUUAAUCGGAAUUACUGGGCGUAAAGCGCACGUAGGCGGCUUUGCAAGCCGGAUGUGAAAUCCCCGGGCUUAACCUGGGAACUGCAUUCGGGACUGCAUUGCUCGAGUAUGGGAGAGGGAAGUGGAAUUUCAGGUGUAGCGGUGAAAUGCGUAGAUAUCUGAAGGAACAUCAGUGGCGAAAGCGACUUCCUGGACCAAUACUGACGCUCAUGUGCGAAAGCGUGGGGAGCAAACAGG